UAACUUAGUGGCGGACGGGUGAGUAACGCGUGGAUAACCUGCCGUGUACAGGGGGAUAACACUUAGAAAUAGGUGCUAAUACCGCAUAAGCGCACAACUUCGCAUGAAGAAGUGUGAAAAGCCGAGACGGUACACGAUGGAUCCGCGUCCGAUUAGCCAGUUGGCGGGGUAGAGGCCCACCAAAGCGACGAUCGGUAGCCGGCCUGAGAGGGUGACCGGCCACAUUGGGACUGAGACACGGCCCAAACUCCUACGGAAGGCAGCAG
rnacentral:rRNA from 1 species